rnacentral:misc_RNA from 1 species
UUUCCGUAGGUGAACCUGCGGAAGGAUCGUUACAGUAGUCACCCAGGUUGCCGCAAGGCCUCCUGGGUAACCUACCACCCUUUGUUUAUUACACUUUGUUGCUUUGGCAAGCCUGCCCUCGGGCUGCUGGCUCCGGCCGGCGAGCGCUUGCCAGAGGACCUAAACUCUGUUUGUCUAUACUGUCUGAGUACUAUAUGAUAGUUAAAACUUUCAACAACGGAUCUCUUGGUUCUG